rnacentral:rRNA from 1 species
CUGUCGGCGUGCUUAACACAUGCAAGUCGAACGGAAAGGCCCUGCUUUUGUGGGGUGCUCGAGUGGCGAACGGGUGAGUAACACGUGAGUAACCUGCCCUUGACUUUGGGAUAACUUCAGGAAACUGGGGCUAAUACCGGAUAGGAGCUCCUGCUGCAUGGUGGGGGUUGGAAAGUUUCGGCGGUUGGGGAUGGACUCGCGGCUUAUCAGCUUGUUGGUGGGGUAGUGGCUUACCAAGGCUUUGACGGGUAGCCGGCCUGAGAGGGUGACCGGCCACAUUGGGACUGAGAUACGGCCCAGACUCCUACGGGAAGCAGCAGUGGGGAAUAUUGCACAAUGGGCGGAAGCCUGAUGCAGCAACGCCGCGUGCGGGAUGACGGCCUUCGGGUUGUAAACCGCUUUCGCCUGUGACGAAGCGUGAGUGACGGUAAUGGGUAAAGAAGCACCGGCUAACUACGUGCCAGCAGCCGCGGUGAUACGUAGGGUGCGAGCGUUGUCCGGAUUUAUUGGGCGUAAAGGGCUCGUAGGUGGUUGAUCGCGUCGGAAGCGUAAUCUUGGGGCUUAACCCUGAGCGUGCUUUCGAUACGGGUUGACUUGAGGAAGGUAGGGGAGAAUGGAAUUCCUGGUGGAGCGGUGGAAUGCGCAGAUAUCAGGAGGAACACCAGUGGCGAAGGCGGUUCUCUGGGCCUUUCCUGACGCUGAGGAGCGAAAGCGUGGGGAGCGAACAGGCUUAGAUACCCUGGUAGUCCACGCUGUAAACGGUGGGUACUAGGUGUGGGGUCCAUUCCACGGGUUCCGUGCCGUAGCUAACGCUUUAAGUACCCCGCCUGGGGAGUACGGCCGCAAGGCUAAAACUCAAAGGAAUUGACGGGGCCCCGCACAAGCGGCGGAGCAUGCGGAUUAAUUCGAUGCAACGCGUAGAACCUUACCUGGGUUUGACAUGGAUCGGGAGUGCUCAGAGAUGGGUGUGCCUCUUUUGGGUCGGUUCACAGGUGGUGCAUGGCUGUCGUCAGCUCGUGUCGUGAGAUGUUGGGUUAAGUCCCGCAACGAGCGCAACCCUUGUUCACUGUUGCCAGCACGUUAUGGUGGGGACUCAGUGGAGACCGCCGGGGUCAACUCGGAGGAAGGUGGGGAUGACGUCAAGUCAUCAUGCCCCUUAUGUCCAGGGCUUCACGCAUGCUACAAUGGCUGGUACAGAGAGUGGCGAGCCUGUGAGGGUGAGCGAAUCUCGGAAAGCCGGUCUCAGUUCGGAUUGGGGUCUGCAACUCGACCUCAUGAAGUCGGAGUCGCUAGUAAUCGCAGAUCAGCAACGCUGCGGUGAAUACGUUCCCGGGGCUUGUACACACCGCCCGUCAAGUCAUGAAAGUUGGUAACACCCGAAGCCGGUGGCCUAACCGUUGUGGGGGAGCCGUCGAAGGUGGGACUGGUGAUUAGG